CUAGACUUCUUUCUCCAGGCUCCCGUUGUGUGGCUUGGCUGCCCACUACCUCAUUCCCAUCAAUGGACAAUGGCUGGGAGAGAAAGCCUCCGUGACUGUAUCAUGGAACAGUCUCCACUCCAGGUUAUGGAUCCACUGUUGGGCAGUUCUACACUGCUCACAUCCGGAUGCCGAUUCUGCCAGCAAAUGCAUCUGAUUCUAUCUCUCUGGUCCGUCUAACUCUAGGUUCUGCUUUGUCUAGCAUGUGGUUGUGUGAGUGCCAGAGUGCAAGCUCUUGGGAGGCAGGGGACACAUUUAUUGAUGUUGUAUCACCAACAUUUAGUAUAGUACCUGCUAAAAAGUUACUGUCAACAUAUUUGUUAAACAAUGAUUACUGGAUGGGUGGAUGAAACAUCAAUAUGACUUGCCCAAGGGCAGUUAUGAAUGUCUCCAAAACUAUUUCAGGGGUAAUUCAUGAACAUGUCCUCUGAGGAUUCUUCUUCCAUCUCUAACUCAGUUCCUAUGAUAUGACUACCUCAGGGCAAGAAAGUCACUGUGUCCUUGCUACAACAAA
rnacentral:antisense_RNA from 1 species